GCUGCUGUCAUGACGCUAAUAACAACACAUAUCUUUGCGAGGCUAAACAACGUGUAACAUGACGAGGGGAAAUUGUAGAUUUAAUUUUGAGCUUGCAUGAAGUGAGCACAUGUCGUUUGCCAAAGUUGGAAACUACAGCUCCCAAUAUUAAAUGGUUUCUGGAUCACGUGAUUGACCAGCUGAGAAAUAUAUGCGAAGAUUUAAACAAACAUACUAAACUCAUGAUUUUAGUCUACUGCAAUGAAUAUAUGUCAAUGGGUUGGCUUUAUUCAAUACGCCCAACUUUAUGUAAGGUUUGUAUAAUAAUACAGACAAGCCUUAGAAUGAAGAGAAAUUAACCAAGGAGGUUGAUCCUUCCGAUCUAGUACAUCUACUUCAACUGUCGCGUCAAAACCGUUGCGAAGGAGGGUAGCUACGGUAACCAACAUCCUGAAUCCAUGACAGGUAUGUCCUCACCAACCAACUAUCAAGAUAAGGGAAGACCAAUGAUUGGAUGGACUGUAAUAACUGAAGAUAAUGCCAGAGGUGCCUUUAACUGACUACAAGAGGAAGCUUUCAGUCUUUGGACCCAAAGUUCGGUGAGGAAGACAACCAUUGUCACAACAUGGACCAAAGGACAUGACCUUACAAGUGCACUCCAGGGUCCGUGUACAUUUUGUUAUUUUGAUUUCCAGUGGAAAAACAGAAAGUCAACGUAUUUUCUCAUUUAUUGUGUCAAAGUUGGACAUGGAAUAAUGGGAAACAAAUAACAACAAAAUAUCAUUA